GUCAGUGUGGUAUAGUGGUAUCAUCAUUGGACUAUGACUCUGGAGACCAGGGUUCAAAUCUCCAUUCAGCCA